GAUGAACGCUGGCGGCGUGCCUAAUACAUGCAAGUCGAACGCAUAGCGAAAGGUGCUUGCACCUUUCAAGUGAGUGGCGAACGGGUGAGUAACACGUGGACAACCUGCCUCAAGGCUGGGGAUAACAUUUGGAAACAGAUGCUAAUACCGAAUAAAACUUAGUGUCGCAUGACACAAAGUUAAAAGGCGCUUCGGCGUCACCUAGAGAUGGAUCCGCGGUGCAUUAGUUAGUUGGUGGGGUAAGGGCCUACCAAGACAAUGAUGCAUAGCCGCGUUGAGAGACUGAUCGGCCACAUUGGGACUGAGACACGGCCCAAACUCCUACGGGAGGCUGCAGUAGGGAAUCUUCCACAAUGGGCGAAAGCCUGAUGGAGCAACGCCGCGUGUGUGAUGAAGGCUUUCGGGUCGUAAAGCACUGUUGUAUGGGAAGAACAGCUAGAAUAGGAAAUGAUUUUAGUUUGACGGUACCAUACCAGAAAGGGACGGCUAAAUACGUG
rnacentral:rRNA from 1 species